rnacentral:tRNA from 1 species
GGUUCCGUGGUGCAGUUGGUUAGCGCAUCGUACUAAUAUUUCUACCAAGGAACAUAUGCGAAAGUCGAGAGUUCGAGCCUCUCCGGGACCA